rnacentral:rRNA from 1 species
GACGAACGCUGGCGGCGUGCUUAACACAUGCAAGUCGAACGGAAAGGCCUCUUUCGGGGGGUACUCGAGUGGCGAACGGGUGAGUAACACGUGAGUAACCUGCCCUUGACUUUGGGAUAACUUCAGGAAACUGGGGCUAAUACCGGAUAGGAGCUCCUGCUGCAUGGUGGGGGUUGGAAAGUUUCGGCGGUUGGGGAUGGACUCGCGGCUUAUCAGCUUGUUGGUGGGGUAGUGGCUUACCAAGGCUUUGACGGGUAGCCGGCCUGAGAGGGUGACCGGCCGCAUUAGGACUGAGAUACGGCCCAGACGCCUACGGGAGGCAGCAGGGGGGAAUAUUGCACAAGGGGUGGAAGCCUGAUGCAGCAACGCCGUGUGCGGGAUGACGGCCUUCGGGUUGUAAACCGCUUUCGCUCAUGACGAAGCUUUGCGUGACGGUAGUGGGUAAAGAAGCACCGGCUAACUACGUG